AAAAAAUCUUGCAAAUUUGUUACUGUUGUGUAUGACGAACCAAAUGUCAAAGCCUUUUUGUUUCUUUGCUAUCUUGGUUUUAGUUUUUGCAGUUCAAUGUAUUGAGAUAGAUGGUGAAUGCACAAAAAUUGUGGGUAAUUGUGCUAAAUCAGAAUGCACCGCUCAUUGUAAUUCAUAUGCAAGAGGUGUUAGAGUUUUAAAAGCAUCAUGUUCAUACUUUAACUUAUGCACUUGUACUUUCGAUCGGCCACCACCAGGAGAAGCAGUUUGCAUUGUUGGAAUGGGAGUUUGCACUAAUGAUUGUAACUAUGAAUGUUGCAAUAAUAAGUGUCAAAAGAGUUAUCCGAAUACGGGUAGGGGGACCUGUGUUGAUUCUCGGGAGCAUGAUCUUUGCUUUUGUUCUUAUAGACGUUGACUUUAUAGUUAACAAAAAUAAAUACAAUAAAAUAAAUGGUUGUAUUCCCUUCUUUAUCUAACAAUAGUGUUUCAAUUGACAUUUUCA